GCAGUGGUAGCUCAGUGGUUAAAACGUUGGACUACUAAUGGGACGGUCAUGAGUUCAAUUCCUGCUGCCACUGCU